UACGAAGGGGGCUAGCGUUGUUCGGAAUCACUGGGCGUAAAGGGCGCGUAGGCGGCCGAUCAAGUCGGGGGUGAAAGCCUGUGGCUCAACCACAGAAUGGCCUUCGAUACUGUUUGGCUUGAGACCGGAAGAGGUCAGUGGAACUGCGAGUGUAGAGGUGAAAUUCGUAGAUAUUCGCAAGAACACCAGUGGCGAAGGCGGCUGACUGGUCCGAUUCUGACGCUGAGGCGCGAAAGCGUGGGGAGCAAACAGG
rnacentral:rRNA from 1 species